CCUACGGGAGACAGCAGUGAGGAAUAUUGGUCAAUGGGCGCGAGCCUGAACCAGCCAAGUAGCGUGAAGGAUGACUGCCCUACGGGUUGUAAACUUCUUUUAUAAAGGAAUAAAGUGAGGCACGUGUGCCUUUUUGUAUGUACUUUAUGAAUAAGGAUCGGCUAACUCCGUGCCAGCAGCCGCGGUAAUACGGAGGAUCCGAGCGUUAUCCGGAUUUCUUGGGUUUAAAGGGUGCGUAGGCGGCCUUUUAAGUCAGCGGUGAAAGUCUGUGGCUCAACCAUAGAAUUGCCGUUGAAACUGGGGGGCUUGAGUAUGAUUGAGGCAGGCGGAAUGCGUGGUGUAGCGGUGAAAUGCUUAGAUAUCACGCAGAACCCCGAUUGCGAAGGCAGCCUGCCAAGCCAUGACUGACGCUGAUGCACGAAAGCGUGGGGAUCAAACAGGAUUAGAGACCCUUGUAGUC
rnacentral:rRNA from 1 species